UCAGUAGGAGAAGCUGCCCGAGUGUCGUUUUCUCCCUGGUCAAUUAAGAUACGGGCUGCAAAGGUAAUAGAGGGAGACAAGCUGGCUUUUAAAGCCGCUAUCAGAUAUUGUUAGCGAGGAUGGUGUGAGCAACCCCGGUUUGCAAACCCAGUUGCUGGCUGGUGCCGGAGGGCUGCUAGAGCCUCCCAGAGCCCUCCAAACGCUGCUCCGCGCAGCCAAACCCAGAGUGCCAGGAAUCAGAUGGAGCGAGGCAGCAGGUACGGCGAAGAAAUCCGAGAUAAUGAUUUUAUUUGUUCAGGAUAUUUAAGUUUUUUAAAUUGGCAAAUUAAGACAACUUAAUUAGUUAACAACACACUACAUUUGCUCAGCCCGUGUGUCUGAAGAGCUGGCAUCAUUAAAAUAACACCUGUGGAUUAUGUCUAAUUACCGAAUUUUUUGAGAAAGAGGUAUACAUUUUAAUUUUCUGCCUUUUAAAAGUGAAGUCAGAGUUUAACAAGUUGAUAUUUAUGAGAGAGGAGAUUUUAAUUUGUAACGCGAGCAGCGGGUUGUUUUGCUUUUUUGCUUUUUUUUUUUUUUUUUCCCCUUAAUAGCCACAAGGUGGCACAGCCCGCCCGCAGUUCGCCCCGAGCCGCGCCGGGGAUGGGGAUGGGGAUGGGGAUGGGGAGUGGGAUUGAGACGGGCAUGGGCACGGGCCGAGAGCGGGGCAUGGCUCGGGGCCGCUGCAGCCAGGGCGGAGAGCAGCGUAAAAACAAGCAGGAGAAAUGGCCAGCGGGGAAAAGGGUGAUAGAAGCAAGAAGACCCCUUCAGGAUCCCAUAAUGGACUUUUUUCAGUGGAACUCACUCUGAAAGUCGCAUCCAACUCCUGAAAUGAAAUGCGGAAUAUGGACCACCUUGCUGUAAAAGCCACUAUUCCAACUUUUAGCUCCUCCAAAUGCUGUAUAUUUUUAGUUUGGGACCCUACACCUACUGCAUAAACUCUGGCUGGAUGGUGUGCUGUAUGUUACCAGCAGGGCUCAAGGCUGCGAGGCAAAAAUGCCCACAACCUUUCUUUUGCCUACCUGCUCUCUGACUCUCUCUCAGGCUUCAGCAAUUAUGUACCUCAGAGUCUUCACACCAGUGGAGAAAAAGAACCUUCUUUAAACAGUUUUGCCAUCUGUGAGGUCUGUUUAAAAGUCAUUUACCUCUGCUGUUCUAAACCCAUCAGCUGUUAUGCACAUGGAUAAUUUUAUGGACUGGGCUAUACCCUUGAAUAGGUAGAGACACACUCUGACAGUUAAGCUAUGUAAAUGCCGAGCUGUUUGCAGCAAGAAGGCUUUAGCUUUUAAGAUUUUCUGGCAGAGACUAUGCAAAAUGGAUGGUUUUUUAUCGUUCUCUGCCCAUGCCCUCCAUUCAAUUGAACAUCCUACUUGCCCCAGAUUAUAAAUGUUCACCUGGCACAGUGGUGGAUACACCUCACUCAGGAGCCAAGUGAAUGUGGCACCAGGAGUCUUUGGAUUAUGGAACACUAAUGAGCUCAGGUGCAAUUGGAACAAAUCCAGAAGCUAUGGGCGGACACAAGGAAAAUUAAGGAGUGGGAAAAUUCUUGUUUGGUCUUGUUAUUAUUAAUGUGCAGACAGAAACGAUAUGUGUCUGUGACAGUUGUAUUGGUGUUUAUCAGCAAGGCAAGUGUUUUUAAAAAAUAUCAAAAAAUGGCAUUUUCUGUUCAUAAAAUCAUAUAAAUUCUAUCUAGUUUUUAUGGUAUAUGUAAAUUAUGUUUUGGAUUUGAUAUAAUCUACAAAAGUAUGAUUAAAUCUUUUUCUGUUUUAUUUCAUUCUAUCAUCCAUGAUAAGAUGACAUCCCUGAACUGAAAAGCCAUAUUAAUUAAUAAAUAGUCCAAUAUUUACAAUAACUUCUUUGAAAAAGAUGGGUUUUAUCCAAACACUGAAGCAAAAGCUUCAAUAGAAUUUCUUUUUCCUGCAAAUAGGAUAGUUGCCUUUGGAAUUUGCAGUCUCCACUCAGUGCACACCUUUUCCACAAAGCUGUAUUACCUCCUACACAGCUUUGCUCUCAGGACCUGCCUUUCAUCAGUUGUUCUUCACUCUGCAUUUAUCUUUCCUUCCUUUAGUUACAGCACUAGAGCUAGAUCACCCCCUCCAGAGACAAACCCAACAUCUAUAGGAUGAAUGUCUAGCUGGGGUCACCCUGCACAGUGCUCCCAGCAUCUCUCCAGGCAGGGUGGUCCAUGCAAGGUCUAUAUUUUUAUUCCUGCCUCUUUGUGCCCAUUUGUAAGACUGGAGAUUGGCAGGCUUCAGGGAAAAGAUAAUACAGCUUCAGUUUGCUGUUUCCUAGGAGAUUCAGUCUAGAGCAAUAAGGGCUGCUGAGCCUCUUUGGAAAUCAUGAUCCCUGGCUGAACCAGGAAGACCUGCUCACACAUGGCUCCCCCUUAGAAAGCCUGGCACUGCUGGGGCUGCCUUUAGGGGAUGCCCUGGUGCUCAGUGUAUCCUGCUGAGACAGCUGAACUCUUCAGGCAUGGACCAAGGUCUAUUCAGGAGAGAAAAAAGCAGAUGAAUUCCAGAUGAAGCUGGAAGCAGUGACUCUAGCUUGUGAUAAAUAUACAGCUAGAGCUGAGCCAUACUUGGUCUGUCUGAAAAAGGUAUUAGAAAUGGCCCAAUAAAACCUGAUAAUCAUACAUUAGUUGUAUAUGAAGAUUAAGGACACCUUUUGUAUUAUAUUUAAAUAUAUGGAGAUGAAUGAAAAAUAUAGACUGGCCUUUGAAUUAGCAAGUGGAUUGCAUCUAACUGAACUUUGAUAACUGAGUUUGUCUAAAGAGAUUGUUUUAGCACAUAAUAUACUUGGACUCAAUGUGCAUGGAAAAUAAUUGCACAAUGGCAAUAAAAGGUAGAUUAGCACAAGAUCGUAGUGUGUGAACUACAAAAAUUAUUCUAAAGUAAAAAUAAGUCCUUCGCUGUAAUUCCUUCAGAAUCAGAAUCGGAUUAAAUGUUAUAGAAAGUAUCAGCAAUAUCUCAAAUACAACAUACAGGAAAGCAUUUAUGUUUUUUCAAGAAAUACAAAUGUAGCAGACAUUGACAAUAUGGAAGGUGAUCAGAAUAUCACAUGGGAAGAAAUGGAUAGGCUUUAGAACUGGGACAGGGUAUGUGAUUUAAUUAGUUUGAAAUACGAGGUAAUGAACAUAGGGAGCAAUGAGAAUUUCUUCAAUCAGAAGGCUCACUGGUUGAAACAGGAAGACUUAGGGGUAUUAAUCAGUCAAAGAAUUAUUAUGCACCACCUAGGUGCAUGUAGCAGUAAAAAAUGGAAAUAGAAUUCUCAGAUGUAUCCAGUGAGGCUUUUGCAAAACGAAAACAUUAAGUAUUAAUUAUAAGUUGCACUGUUGAGACAUUAUCUGGUACGGAGUUUAGAAUUCCAGUCAUAAAAACUCAACACAUUAAACUCCUAAUGGAGCAAGUGGAGAGAGGAAAAGAGUUAAUAGCAGUGCUGCAGGAACAGAAAGCCUGUUUUAUGGUUAAAUCUUAUCAAAAUUUUUAAGGUAAUGAAAUAAAAAUCAAGAGUACGUUUGGUCUAUUUGUAUAAAGAUAUGAUAGAAGCAGAUAACAGAAUGCUCAUUAAAGCUAAGGGACAAUUUUGACCUAAAUAAGACAUAAUAAAUGUGGUAUUAAAAAUGGAAAAAAAGAUGUUAUACAAAAAUCUUAGUAAUAGAAGUAGUGGUGCCAAAAAACCUGAAUUAGUUUAAAUCCUUAAUGUUAUCAGUGAAAAGGACUUGAUAAUGAGAUUGAUUAUGAUGAAAGAAAGCAGGAGAUGGAAAAGUGUCCCAGAACAAGAGAAUUCAUGUUGAAGUUGAGAAAAUGAAGCCAAAAAAAAGUGGUUUUACUAAGACCUACCUUGUCCUUAUGCAUAUAGACCUGGGCUGUUGAAAUCAAAGUAAUAUUUACCUGGACAAAGCAGCAAACAAUGAGCAAUGGGACUCAAACUUGCAGAAGACUAAGUAAGAGAAAGGAUAAAAAUGCUUAAGAAAUUAUCCAAUGGGAAAUUUUCACUAUGGUUUACUAUGUGCACAUCAGUGACAUUAUGAGUGUAUACCUGUAUGUAGAUCUCCCUCUGCACUGCUUUACUGACCUAAGCUAAUUCUCAGGGCCCUGUGGGCAUCAUUCCCUAUCCAGGGGGCCAGCUGCCUGGUCGGAGGGCUAGCACACAGCGUCUAUGUUCCCACUUUGCUGGCCUGGCUGAGGCACCCUGCUCUGUCACCAUGCUGGGCAGGACACUGCCCCGUUCCUGCCCUGCCACCACCCAACCUCCUGGAUCCCCUUCCCCUGCAAGUGGCCUGGUUGUUAGCAACUCUGACAGUAAACUACUUUCAUAAUCUGGUAUUGCUUUGUCGAGGGGAAAGAUAUUUUCUUUUCUGGGAACCUAGGAACCUUGAAAGAACCUUGUUGUUCUUUCUGAUCUGUAAAUUCAAUUUGAUCAUUUGUUGAGGGGCAUCAGGAGGACUGAUGAGCAAGGAGUCUGGAUCUGACUAGGAUAUGCAGAGAAACCCAGGAGUUGGGAAGCACUCUGGAAGUCUGUUUGGUAGCUGCCUGCCAGGUCAAUACUUGAUGUCUUCUGUCAAUAGCAACCCAUAAAAUAUCGAAGCACAUGAAAUCCAGAUGGUUUCUUCUGAGUCUUCUGAGCAUGCAAUCUGAACCAGUUAGGAUCACUGGAGACACAAGUACUUCACAACACAAUAUGCUGAAACUCUCCCUGGCAGAACAUGCAGAAGUUCUGAAAACAAUCUGAGUGCUGAUAAACUGCUGGUAGAUAUAUCAGGGUUAGCAGAGGACUGCAAUUCCUCUACAGUCCUGAGAGUUGCGAUGGUGUGUGUCCUGUGUAUUUUAAAUUUUGGGUUGAAUAUUCCACAUAGAUCUAUUUGGUCCAGGCUCCCCUGCAGUGGCACUCUUGUUUCACUAAAAGCAGUACAGAAAUCAUUCACAUUCCUAGGUAAUUUCCCUUUGUGCUGUUGCACAAAGGAGGGAAAAGGAAUUAAUUUUCCUUUACACCAAACAAUGCUUGAGACCAAUGAACUUAAAGAUAUUUUUUUGCUUCCUCUUUCUCUUUUCCCUCCUGGAGUGUAAUAAAAGAAAUUGUAUUUUUGCAAAUAAACAUUGUAUUGCUAUAGCAUUUUCCCAGUCCAAAGCUUUUUCACUGAGUGCCAUUUUCUUUUUUUUUUUUUUUUUCCAGUGAAGACCUAUGUGAUAAUUCUGGUACUGUAUUAGGGACCCCCCAGAAUUUCUGUAUGUGGACUACAGUAAUGGGUUCCACAUAGACCAAAGAAAUUCUAUGCAUGCAGGAAAUGUUUCAGUGCAUUCUCCAAAAGCAAAGUCUCUUCUAAAUCAAAAGUUACAGAGUUGUCAGAAAAGAAACUUUUACAAAUCAAUGUAUUUAAUUUUUCUGAAGUCACACUUGUUAGCAUGUGAGUAUAUUCUUCUGUAUUUACUUGAAUGCACUGAUCGUAUAUUAGUAUUUGAUUUAUGUUAAUGAAGAUGAUAAUUGGAUGAUAGUGAAAAAGAGAAGGGGAGCCAACAUAAAUCGCUGCAGGGGAAGCAAAAGAUCAAGAGGGUUGGAUCCAUUUCCUGUUAAGUUCCUCGGGAGUGUUUCCAUUAAUUUCACUGAGCUUUAGCUCUUGUCCUUAGUGAAAAAAAAGAUACUGAGGUUCAUUAGCAGCCUUUAUUAAAUAAAACUUAUUACCAUAAAAAGAACAUUCCCACCUUCCAAAGAGCUAUGUGGAAAGAGAAAACAGGAAUUUCUUGAAGGUUAUUGUGAGGUUUUUGCUUAGUAUUUUGUUGGUUGGGUGAGUUUUUUGUGGAUUUCUUUUUUUGUUUUUUUGAUUGCUUGUUUGCAUGUUUGGUUGUGUUUUAAUUUGUUUUAAUGCAAAUAUUUUGAAACCAAAUUCUUUUUCCUCAGAAUUGCAGAAAUGCCUGUGUUGCAAAGGGUCACGCGCUUUAUUUACCUGGGUAAGAAUAAGAGGCUAUGAAGUUCCCAUGAGCUGAAGGAAGGACUCAAGUCGUGUUUCUACCUCCUGGACCUGAUUUCAUAGUUAAUAUGUUCCCUGACACGUUACUUGACUAUCAACGUGGGUGUGGGUAUGAUCGGGAGCAGCCGUGGGUGUGAAGGACAGAGGAGCCAUUCCAUUCACAAGAAGAGAUCUUCCUCACUGUGGGGAUGCUGACUUUGCCUUGGCACUUCCCCUCAUGGCCAGAGAACAGUUUGAUUCAUUUCAUAUACUAGUAUAGACACGCCCUGUGAGUUCUGAAAACUAAGCAUUUUACCAUUUAGGAGGCUUUUCUGCAUUCUUGCUGCCAAAACUCCUGCUUGUUUUUAAAUUGGCGUAACAUUAAUCAUUUCAAGAUAGGAAAUGCUUUGCCAGAACUGAAGGUAGUGUCCUCUGACACAGCGCUGAUUAUUUAUUUUGAAUCAUUUUCAACAUCGCUUCUUCCGUCUUCUGCUAUGUCAGCCUUUACAAAGUGUCAUUUUUCUAAUAAAUUAAUUUAUUAUUUUAAAUUCCCUGAAGUAAAAUACGAAUAGGGUAGAAUGAAGCAGACAAACAAACAAACAAGAAAGGAUGAAAAUUGAAAAUUGUUUGAGAAUACAUUUUGAAGUAAAUGGAUUUUAAAAUACCCUCUUGCUCACUUGUAAAGCAGUGACAGCCCCAGUAUCUCAACAAAUACAGAGCAAUUCAUGUUGUAAAAUAACAGUGGAGUUUUUAUAUCUUCUAGGUUCAUGGGUGGAAAGGGGGAUCUGCAUGAUGAGGAGUUUCAGGGUGUAGAGAGAGGGACUCUGACCUGAUAUUACCUCUCAUAUUACAUGCUGAAGCAAUAGUUUCUAGCUACUGGCAAGGAAAACAGAUGAGCAAAUAUUCUGUGUCUUGAAGUUAAAUGCAUUGCUGCAGCAACAACCCUCUCCAGCUUUCCAGCCACCAUGAAUCCUGAGCCUACUCUUAAACUGGCAGCAGGAGAAAUCUUAAUUUGGUACACCACAAAGAACAAUAUAUAGAAUCUGGACUCAGAGAUUAUUUCCUACUUCUGUACCCAUUGCAGAAUGGAUCCGGUUGGACAGGAGCACAGGAGGUCAUCUGGUCCAACCUCCCUGUCCAAGCAGGACCAUCCCAGAGCACAUGGCAUGGGAUUGCAGCCAGAUGAUUCCUGAAUAUCUCCAGUGAGAGAGACUCCUCAACCACUCUGGGAUUCUUUUUUCAGUACAUGGACACCUGCACAGUGAAGAAGUUCCUCCUCAUACUCAGAUGGUGCUUCCUAUGCAUCAAUUUCUACCUAUUGUCUCUUGUCCUACUGCUUGGCACCACCAAAAGAAAUCUGGUCUCAUCCUCUUGGCACCCAGCCUUCAGAAACUGGUAGAUAUUGAUGAGAUCCCCUCUCAGACAUUUCUUCUUGGUGCUGAACAGGCCCAGCUCCCUCAGCCUUUCCUCACAGGAGGGAUGCUCCAGUCCUUUAUUCAUCUCUGUAGUCCGACACCAGACCUGCUUCAGGAGCUCCAUGGACUGAGGAGCCCAGAACUGGACACAGCACUCCAGAUGUGGCCUCAUCAGGGUUGAGUAGAGGGGCAGAAUUUCCUCACUUAGCCUGCUUGCAUGAGCUUCCUAAAAGAAGAAAUUCUUAUUCAUGGCUUGUAAAAGAAAGAAAUUGUUAAAAAUUUUACUUCAUAGUCAAAUGUAAAGAAAAAAUCAAGAUAUUCUGGUUAUGCUGCAAAACGGAACUUGACUCCCUCUUACUGGUAGGGCAGUGUCUGCUGCUCUCAAAAGCAUGGCUUCUUUUACACUAAGCAGUAAUUUUGUAGUCAAAAAGCUACAAUAAACCUCCAUCAGCUUAAGCACUCUAAGAUUCUUUUCUUCACAUUUUUUGCUUUCUUUUGCCUUUGGAACAUUGCUUCCUAGUUUGCAGAGUAGCUCAACUCUGUCUACAAAAGAGAUAGAAACAAAUUAAAUAUGUAGAAGUACCUUACGUAUCAUGCAGGGUUUCAACACUCUUUAAUAAAAAAAGCUUAAUUAAACCUGUCUCACUUCUAAGACAAGUUUUGCUGUGAAAAAUGUUGCUCUCCUAAGUAAGUGUCUGGGUGGUUUUACUUUCCUUUUGGUUCUCAAUGUUUGCUUCCUUCUCAAAAGUGUUGUGAUGUUAAAUUUAUUUUGUAAUCAGCUAUAAAAGUAUGUUAUUAUUGAAUAGAAAAAAAUGGAAAUUUUCCAAUUCUGGAAUUGAAAAUUUUAAACUGUAAGUGGUAAUGUUUCUUUGAGUUGCAGUAAUUCACUUGUGGGAAGAAAAAAAAUUCUGAGCUCUAUGUAAUAUUCUGACAUUCGCAUUUAAUAAACUAAUCAUAAAUCA